rnacentral:rRNA from 1 species
UUCGGUUUGAAGUUCUUUAUGACUGAGUGGCGGACGGGUGAGUAACGCGUGGGUAACCUGCCUUGUACUGGGGGAUAGCAGCUGGAAACGGCUGCUAAUACCGCAUAAGCGCACGGCAUCGCAUGAUGCAGUGUGAAAAACUCCGGUGGUACAAGAUGGACCCGCGUCUGAUUAGCUGGUUGGUGAGGUAACGGCCCACCAAGGCGACGAUCAGUAGCCGGCCUGAGAGGGUGAACGGCCACAUUGGGACUGAGACACGGUCCAAACUCC